AACCUUUUCAAUGCGCGCAAGCGUGAAAAGGGAAUUCCAAGUGCUCAAGUUUUACUUGGGCUUUUGCCAAGCGUAAAAAGCUUGGCGAAUAAGGGGUGGGUAAGACUGGUGCCAGCCGCCGCGGUAACACCAGCGCCUCGAGUGGGGGUCGCGAUUAUUGGGUCUAAAGCGUCCGUAGCAGGCUUUGUAAAUGCUUUGUGAAAUCGGCAGGCUUAACCUGCCGGCGUGCAGAGUAGACUGCAGAGCUCGAGACCGGGAGAGGUUAGAAGUAUUCCUAGGGUACCGGUAAAAUGGGUUAAUCCUAGGAGGACUACCUAUGGCGAAGGCAUCUAACCAGAACGGUUCUGACUGUGAGGGACGAAAGCUAGGGGAGCAAAACGGAUUAGAUACCCGAGUAGUCCUAGCCGUAAACGCUGUGAGCAAGGUAUUGCACUUCCCACGAGGACGUGCAGUGUCGAAACGAAGGUGUUAAGCUCACCACCAGGGAAGUACGGUCGCAAGGCUGAAACUUUAAGGAAUUGGCGGGGGAGCGCCACAAGGGGUGCGGCGUGCGGUUCAAUCUAACUCAACGCAGAGAACCUCACUAGGCCCGACGGCAGGAUGAAGGUCAUGCUGAAGACAUUACCUGACGAGCCGAGAGGUAGUGCAUGGCCGUCGCCAGCUCGUGCUGUGAAGUGUCCAGUUAAGUCUGGCAACGAGCGAGACCUGUACUUUCUAUUGCUAACGACCACAUGUGGGAUCGAGCACUUUGAAAGGACUGCCCUGGAAACGGGGAGGAAGGUGCAGGCUACGGUAGGUCUGUAUGCUCCGAAUGGUCUAGGCUACACGCGCGCAACAAUGAUUGGGACAAUGGGAUGCCACUCCGAAAGGAGGAGCUAAGCCUCUAAACCCAAUCCUAGUACAAAUCGAGGCUUGUAACUCAGCCUCGUGACGUUGGAAUCCCUAGUAAUCGGAUGUCAUCAUCGUCCGGUGAAUAUGUCCCCG
rnacentral:rRNA from 1 species